AUUGAAGGCCCCGCAAUUUCGUAUUUUUAUUGGGCGAGACUCGUCUCAUUUAUUUUAAAAGAUAAACCUAAAGUGACUAUAUUUGCUAUUUUCAUUUUUUUUUUUUUUGUCUCCAAUAAGAAAACUCCUACUUAAUUAUUCUUAGAAUUCGGGUUUCAAGUUAAAGUCCGGGUCCAAAAAAAAGGACGGACCUUUUAGCUUGGACAUGCUACCUAACUCUAUACCCAAAUGUAUCAUUAGCGAGCCAGUACCAAUCCAGUUCUAAAUUCAGGACCUCCAACUUGCGUUCAAACUGUCGAGUAUUUGGGUCUUGAAACCAUCUCAGGCAGAAGGAAAUUGUUCAAUUCAAUUCAGAAAUGAACCACAAUCAAGUAUUCAGAUUUUAAUCUGAAUGGACUAUACAGUUUGCGGAUACGUGAGUGAUCAAUUGACCUAUCCCAAACAAACUCAAUUGCGCUGAAAUCUGAAACAAAUAACAGCAACUGCUAAGUCGAACAAUUCUGCCACUUAUCACAUCAUUUUCACUUAAUUUCUUUUAAUGAAACUCUGUCCAUUUCAAUGCUAGCCAGACAUGAAUAAACUUAAAACCCAAGAAUCAAUUUAACUUCAAGCCUAUAGGAUUAACAUGCUGAUUUGAACUUCAAUUUAAUUGACAGUGUUCCAACUGACUUUUCCAAGUAAUAUCACCUCUAAAACUAAACCAAACAAUGCUACAAGCCAUGCUCAUAUGCUUCUGAACAUAGCCUUCCAAAUUGUUUUAGUACAAGUGUGAUCAUUCAAUCAACGUUUCCAAACCAAUCUUAAUUCACGCCACUUUAAAAACCUUAUGAGUUAACUAUUUACAAUAAGCACAAACACAAAUCUAAUGGUUCAAACAGAUGAGCACAAACCUGAAGCUCAUCAGGCUAACACAGCCCAAUUUACUACAAAAAUUAAACAUUGAAUGCUAUGAUCUAAAAUUGAAAUCCAUUAUUCAGUCCGAGAUCAGUCCAGUUAUACAAACAACAUUUAUCUACCAAAAGAAGUUUAGACUUAGGCUAAAUGGAACGGGUGCAAGCUAAUAGCACUAGUAUUUUUAUUUCCAAUUCAAGUUACAUUAGUGUGAAUUCGAAAUGAGUACCAGAAAUGGCAAUAAAAUAGAAGAGAAGAGGAUCAGCAGCAGUAAUGCCCAGAAAUCACCAGAUAACAGCCACCAGAAUAAUUUAAGCCUCAAAUCAAAUAGGAAAUUCCACCAAAAGAAGUUUAGAAAUAGAAUGUUAUACAAACAACAUUUAUCUACCAAAAGAAGUUUAGACUUAGGCUAAAUUGAACGGGUGCAGGCUAAGAGCACUAGUAUUUUUAUUUCAAAUUCAAGUUACAUCAGUGUGAAUUCCAAAUGAGUACCAGAAAUGGCAAUGAAAUAGAAAAGAAGAGGAUCAGCAACAGUAAUGCCCAGAAAUCACCAGAUAACAGCCACCAGAAUAAUUUAAGCCUCAAAUCAAACGGGAAAUUCCAACAGAAAACCAACAACAACCAACUCUAUCGCAUAUAAAUCAGAGUGACUAUAACAGAUUUCAGACUAGCCAAAUUCAAUCCAAAUAGUUCAAAUACGCCUGAUAUUGAUUCAAAUUCCAAUCCAGUUGACUACCAACCCUCAACUACCAAGUAUUAAACCAGAAACUCGAAAUUAAUCAACCAAAUAUCUAAGAAAACUAUGAAAAUUCCCACUUCAACUGAAACUACCAGCUGUGAAGAAGCUAGAUGAGAAUCAAAAUUAAACUGGCCAUUUCUUAAUGAAACCAUAAAUUUUCAAGAUUUUUUUUGAGUUUUUUCUUGUUUUUGGUUUUUUCCUUUUAAAGAAGUUAAAAUCUAAGAGAAUUUCAGAUCUGAAGUUUCAAUUCCAGAUCUGGAAGCUUUGGGGAGUAUUUUGGGGAACUUUUAGGUUGCCAAAACUUGUGAAUGAAGUAAAGGGGGUGCCCUUUUAUUCGCACAAAUGAGGGCAGCCCUCUAAUUUCCUAUUUUUCCUUACAUCCUUUUCUAAUUUUCGUUUUUGCUUAAGUAUCCCUAGAAGACCGACUUGUUUCCCAAGUUAUACCACCAAACUUUAUAAAUUCUAAAGUAAACCCCAUCUAGAAUGUCCCAGAGGACACCAUUCAGAUUUAAAAAGAUUCCCUACCCUUGUAUAACCCCAAUUACCCCUCUUGUUCAACUAAUAUUAACAUGACUUAACAAAUUGCCAUUUCCAAUGCCCAAACUACCCCUGUUUUUACCCCGAAUUACCACUAUGUAACUGAUACAACCCCUUAAUCAAAAGUCAAUUACAACCUAAACAGAUAUUAAGCUAAAGUUCACUAAAUUAAGGUAUUAAAGCAAUCGUCUAAUUAACCUAGCUUAAACUAAAUCCAGAGAAGAUCAACAACUUACCCAAAACCCAACCACAAUUAAUCAACUAAAAUUAAUCCACAAACAAUCAGAACUUCACAAAAUCAAAAAGGAACGACAGAAAAAUAUCAAAAGCAAGAACUAAAUAAAUUUCAAUAAAAUGAACAAUCCAAACUAGGCCCUAAAUAUUUGAACAAAACUAAUGACAAAAUUAACAUUUAUACUAUCAAUUAACAAAGGAGCAUCAACACGAACAAAAUUCAGAAACGUGAGAGGAUGAUGAAAGAAACAACAACUACAACAACAACUACUACCCAGUAUACUCCCACCAGGUGGGGUCUGGGGAGGGUAAUAUGUAGACAAGCCUUACCCCUACCCGAAGGGCAGAGAGGCUGUUUCCAAUCGACCCCCGGCUCAUAGGAUAAAAGGAAAAACA
rnacentral:lncRNA from 1 species